rnacentral:rRNA from 1 species
AGCGAACGCUGGCGGCAGGCUUAACACAUGCAAGUCGAGCGGGCACUUUCGGGUGUCAGCGGCGGACGGGUGAGUAACGCGUUGGAACGUGCCCUCUGGUUCGGAAUAACUCAGGGAAACUUGAGCUAAUACCGGAUACUCCCUUUUGGGGAAAGGCUUGCUGCCGGAGGAUCGGCCCGCGUCUGAUUAGCUAGGUGGUGAGGUAACGGCACACCAAGGCGACGAUCAGUAGCUGGUCUGAGAGGAUGAUCAGCCACACUGGGACUGAGACACGGCCCAGACUCCUACGGGAGGCAGCAGUGGGGAAUAUUGGACAAUGGGCGCAAGCCUGAUCCAGCCAUGCCGCGUGAGUGAUGAAGGCCUUAGGGUUGUAAAGCUCUUUUAUCCGGGACGAUAAUGACGGUACCGGAGGAAUAAGCCCCGGCUAACUUCGUG